rnacentral:rRNA from 1 species
GACGAACGCUGGCGGCGUGCUUAACACAUGCAAGUCGAACGGAAAGGCCCUGCUUUUGUGGGGUGCUCGAGUGGCGAACGGGUGAGUAACACGUGAGUAACCUGCCCUUGACUUUGGGAUAACUUCAGGAAACUGGGGCUAAUACCGGAUAGGAGCUCCUGCUGCAUGGUGGGGGUUGGAAAGUUUCGGCGGUUGGGGAUGGACUCGCGGCUUAUCAGCUUGUUGGUGGGGUAGUGGCUUACCAAGGCUUUGACGGGUAGCCGGCCUGGGAGGGUGACCGGCGACAUUGGGACUGCGGGAGGGCCCAGACGCCAACGGGAGGCAGCAGUGGGGAAUAUUGCACAGUGGGCGGAAGCCUGAUGCAGCAACGCCGCGUGCGGGAUGACGGCCUUCGGGUUGUAAACCGCUUUCGCCUGUGACGAAGCGGGAGUGACGGUAAUGGGUAAAGAAGCACCGGCUAACUACGUG